rnacentral:rRNA from 1 species
UACGGAGGGUGCAAGCGUUAUCCGGAAUCACUGGGUUUAAAGGGUGCGUAGGCGGCUUGGUAAGUCAGAGGUGAAAGCCCGCAGAUUAACUACGGAACUGCCUUUGAUACUGCCGAGCUUGAAAGAGCUUGAGGUCAGCGGAACGUUACAUGUAGCGGUGAAAUGCAUAGAUAUGUCACAGAACAUCAAUUGCGAAGGCAGCUGGCUGGGACUACUUUGACGCUGAGGUACGAAAUCGUGGGUCGCGAACAGG